rnacentral:snRNA from 1 species
GACGUGUAUUUAAUCUAGUAUUU